rnacentral:rRNA from 1 species
GACGAACGCUGGCGGCGCGCUUAACACAUGCAAGUCGAACGGAAAGGCCUGCUUUCCCUUGUGGAUUGCGGGUACUCGAGUGGCGAACGGGUGAGUAACACGUGAGUGAUCUGCCCCCAACUUGGGUAUAAGCCUGGGAAACUGGGUCUAAUUCCCGAUAGGACUGCAGGGUGGUGCCUGUGGUGGAAAACGAUUUUCUAGUGGUUGGGGAUGAGCUCGCGGCCUAUCAGCUUGUUGGUGGGGUAAUGGCCUACCAAGGCGGCGACGGGUAGCCGGCCUGGGAGGGUGGACGGGCACAGUGGGACUGAGAUACGGCCCAGACUCCUACGGGAGGCAGCAGUGGGGAAUAUUGCACAAUGGGCGGAAGCCUGAUGCAGCGACGCCGCGUGGGGGAUGACGGCCUUCGGGUGGUAAACUCCUUUCGACCGCGAGGAAGCCACCUGGUUGGAAGGGUGGUGACGGUAGUGGUAGAAGAAGCACCGGCUAACUACGUG